AUGGAAUCAUCGGUGCCAAUGGCUGUGUCGACGUGCACCUCCGAGACGGCGACGGGCAAGCACGUGUUCAGGAUCGCCGACUACCAUAUACGCAAGGGUUUGGGCGUCGGCGAGUACAUACAGUCCGCCACCUUCGCCAUCGGCGGCUACGACUGGCGCGUUCGCUACUACCCCAAUGGAGCCAUAUUCCCGGAGUGCAGCGGCUAUGUCUCGGUCUACCUCGAGCUCCUCACCAGGGACGCCAAGGUCAGGGCGGACUACGAGUUCAGGCUCAUCGACUCGGGUAGCACGCCACCGCCGUCGCCAGUGACACAUCUGUUUACUAACAAGUACAACACAGUCGACCCGGAUGAAGCACCUGCUAACUAUGGAGCUCCCAGGUUUAUGAAACAGCAGGAGAUAAAACCGUACCUGCGGGACGACUGCCUGGAGAUUGAGUGUGAAGUCCUCGUUAUCAAUGCUAUAACAAAACUUGAGGUGCAGGAGGUGCCGCCCUCGGACCUGCCGAAUCAUCUCGGAAAAUUGCUGGAUGGCAAGAGAGGAGCAGAUGUGACUUUUGAGGUUAAAGGCGAGGUUUUCUCUGCUCACAAGAUUAUGCUCGCCACGCGAUCGCCGGUCUUCGACGCUCAACUCUAUGGACCCCUGAGCGAUGCUGAUGCUACGAGUAAGAACAUAAUCGUCAAAGACAUGGAGCCCCCUGUUUUCAAGGCGUUGCUUCACUUCAUCUACACGGAUUCUCUGCCUGCUAUGGAUGACGUUGAUGAUGGUGAGAGUGAAGACAUGGUUAAGCACUUGCUCGUGGCUGCGGAUAGAUAUGCCAUGGACAGGAUGAAGUUGAUGUGUGAAGAUAUUCUAUGCAAGAGCCUUGAUGUCGAGACUGCGGCGACCACGUUGGCUCUAGCUGAUCAGCAUCACUGCAGCAAGCUGAAAGAUGCUUGUGUUGAAUAUAUCCUCUCUUCAAACAGACUGAAUGCUAUGGUGGCAAGCAAAGGGUACGCACACCUCAAAAGAUCAUGUCCUGCUCUCAUGUUUGAUGUCUUUGAGAGGGCUACCAAGUCUCGGAAAAUUUAA
rnacentral:rRNA from 1 species